rnacentral:rRNA from 1 species
UUGUUGCCAGCGGUCCGGCCGGGAACUCAAAGGAGACUGCCAGUGAUAAACUGGAGGAAGGUGGGGAUGACGUCAAGUCAUCAUGGCCCUUACGACCAGGGCUACACACGUGCUACAAUGGCGCAUACAAAGAGAAGCGACCUCGCGAGAGCAAGCGGACCUCAUAAAGUGCGUCGUAGUCCGGAUUGGAGUCUGCAACUCGACUCCAUGAAGUCGGAAUCGCUAGUAAUCGUGGAUCAGAAUGCCACGGUGAAUACGUUCCCGGGCCUUGUACACACCGCCCGUCACACCAUGGGAGUGGGUUGCAAAAGAAGUAGGUAGCUUAACCUUCGGGAGGGCGCUUACCACUUUGUGAUUCAUGACUGGGGUGAAGUCGUAACAAGGUAACCGUAGGGGAACCUGCGGUUGGAUCACCUCCUUA